CGAAACGAUGCGUUUGACGGCAAAGGAAAGACUUGAGAAAAAGUGAUUUCUUCUUCCUUCGUCCAAUGUGUUAGGGUUUUGCAGUUGCGGAGUUCAGUGAGAUUAGUGACAAUGCAUUGCAGCUCCAUAUGAUGCAAUUCUCCAGCACCUGCAACGCUGUCUCGAUCAAAACGCCAAAGUAUCGUUCAACACGGCUGAAAUGAAGAACUGAGAUUGGGUUUUCAGUUGAGAUAUGUAUGAAGCAGGACGACUCCGCUGCUAGUAUAGAUUGAUUUUUUUUACUUCUUGUUGCUAUAGAUGAAGAUCUAACACUAUAUAUUCACACACGCACAAUGAAGUUGGCGGGUGUGUAUGAAUGUAUGUUAUGAAAAAAGCCGGGACUGUUGAUUUUUUUAUUAGUCUCUAUACAUGAAUGUAAACGUGUAUGUAAAAAUUCAGCUGACUUAUGUAUAGUUACAAUUUAUUGUAGUCCUGUAA